GCCCCGGUGUCCCAACUGGCAGAGGAAGACGACUUAAAAUCGUUGUGUUGCGGGUUCGAAUCCCGCCCGGGGCA
rnacentral:tRNA from 1 species